rnacentral:rRNA from 1 species
UACGUAGGUGGCAAGCGUUGUCCGGAUUUACUGGGCGUAAAGAGCGCGCAGGCGGUCGUUCAAGUCGCGUGUGAAAGCCCCCGGCUCAACUGGGGAGGGUCACGCGAUACUGAUCGACUCGAAGGCAGGAGAGGGAAGUGGAAUUCCCGGUGUAGUGGUGAAAUGCGUAGAUAUCGGGAGGAACACCAGUGGUGAAGGCGACUUCCUGGCCUGUUCUUGACGCUGAGGCGCGAAAGCUAGGGGAGCAAACGGG